GACGAACGCUGGCGGCGUGCUUAACACAUGCAAGUCGAACGGAAAGGCCCUGCUUUUGUGGGGUGCUCGAGUGGCGAACGGGUGCGUAACACGUGAGUAACCUGCCCUUGACUUUGGGAUAACUUCAGGAAACUGGGGCUAAUACCGGAUAGGAGCUCCUGCUGCAUGGUGGGGGCUGGAAAGAUUCGGCGGUUGGGGAUGGACUCGCGGCUUAUCAGCUUGUUGGUGGGGUAGUGGCUUACCAAGGCUUUGACGGGUAGCCGGCCUGAGAGGGUGACCGGCCACAUUGGGACUGAGAUACGGCCCAGACUCCUACGGGAGGCAGCAGUGGGGAAUAUUGCACAAUGGGCGGAAGCCUGAUGCAGCAACGCCGCGUGCGGGAUGACGGCCUUCGGGUUGUAAACCGCUUUCGCCUGUGACGAAGCGUGAGUGACGGUAAUGGGUAAAGAAGCACCGGCUAACUACGUG
rnacentral:rRNA from 1 species